rnacentral:rRNA from 1 species
GACGAACCGAGCGAACGUUGUUCGGAAUCACUGGGCUUAAAGGGCGCGUAGGCGGGCUGUCAAGUCUGCUGUGAAAGCCCCGGGCUCAACCUGGGAAUUGCAGUGGAUACUGGGGAGCUAGAGUGCGGUAGAGGGUAGUGGAAUUCCCGGUGUAGCGGUGAAAUGCGUAGAGAUCGGGAAGAACACCAGUGGCGAAGGCGGCUACCUGGACCAGCACUGACACUGAGUCACGAAAGCGUGGGGAGCAAACAGG